AUUGAACGCUGGCGGCAUGCCUUACACAUGCAAGUCGAACGGCAGCAUGAUCUAGCUUGCUAGAUUGAUGGCGAGUGGCGAACGGGUGAGUAAUACAUCGGAACGUGCCCUGUAGUGGGGGAUAACUAGUCGAAAGAUUAGCUAAUACCGCAUACGACCUGAGGGUGAAAGUGGGGGACCGCAAGGCCUCAUGCUAUAGGAGCGGCCGAUGUCUGAUUAGCUAGUUGGUGAGGUAAAGGCUCACCAAGGCGACGAUCAGUAGCUGGUCUGAGAGGACGAUCAGCCACACGGUGACUGAGACACGGCACAGACUCCUACGGGAGGCAGCAGUGGGGAAUUUUGGACAAUGGGGGCAACCCUGAUCCAGCAAUGCCGCGUGUGUGAAGAAGGCCUUCGGGUUGUAAAGCACUUUUGUCCGGAAAGAAAUCGCACUUACUAAUAUUAGGUGUGGAUGACGGUACCGGAAGAAUAAGGACCGGCUAACUACGUGCCAGCAGCCGCCGUAACAC
rnacentral:rRNA from 1 species